CCUACGGGAGGCAGCAGCAGGGAAUCUUGCACAAUGGGCGAAAGCCUGAUGCAGCGACGCCGCGUGAGGGAUGAAGGUUCUAGGAUCGUAAACCUCUUUUCUUAGGGAAUAGUUUGGAAGGUACCUAAGGAAUAAGUCACGGCUAACUACGUGCCAGCAGCCGCGGUAAUACGUAGGUGGCAAAUGUUGUCCGGAAUCAUUGGGCGUAAAGGGUCCGUAGGUGGCUUGAAAAGUCUUAUGUGAAAUCUCUUGGCUCAACCAAGAAACGCCAUAAGAAACUUUCAUGCUAGAGAUCAUCAGAGGGAGGUAGAAUUCCAGGUGUAGUGGUGAAAUGCGUAGAUAUCUGGAGGAAUACCAAUGGCGAAAGCAGCCUCCUGGGGUGAAUCUGACAUUGAGGGACGAAAGCGUGGGUAGCAAACCGGAUUAGAUACCCGGGUAGUCCAUGCCGUAAACGAUGAAUACUGGGUCUUCGGGGAAUCGACCCCCUGUGGACCGAAGCUAACGCGUUAAGUAUUCCGCCUGGGGAGUACGGUCGCAAGACUAAAACUCAAAUGAAUUGACGG
rnacentral:rRNA from 1 species